rnacentral:lncRNA from 1 species
CCUCCAAAGGUAUGUUCCACUUAUAUUCAUCAUGCUUAUCUGAAAGUAGUUUACCUACAGUAAUUUGAAAUCACAUCUUUUAAAUGCUUUAGCUAAAGUAUCAUGACUAUAGGAGGCCUGAGCAUAACCCAAAUCUAUUGAAUUUUUUUUAAAAAUAAAAUAAAAAUUUAAAAAUGGUACUUAAAUCAGAUACCAACAAAGUAAUAAGGGAAAGAGGAAAAGAAGAAGGCUCAAAUCUACCAUUAAAAAAAUAAGGCACUGCAAAUUCCACUGCAUCUUUAACCAUGAGGUGGCUGUAAGUGG